CAAUGCGUUUAAAGAUAUAAAAUAUUAUUUUAGACUAAAUCAGCAAUUCUUUUAUCUUCUUAUAAUUCUUAUCUUUCUUUUUCUGCGGUGCAGAACAACAUUCUCUCCUCUCUCUCUCUCAAUGUCUGUGUGUGUGUGUGAAGAAUGAAGAGAGCGGUAAUCUUCCGAUGACCACCUGUACCGUACAAAAUCGGAUUUAGUCUUUUAUUUUGAGUGGUUUCUAUGUGAUCUACGUUUCAGCUCCAUCAAAAUGACGAGAAAAGCAUACCCAUACGGAGUCAAAUCUCAUAUUCGCACCAAAGAGUACAGAAUCGACUCUGGUGUGGCUGGACUUUUGAUUGUCCUUAAAAAUCUAAGGGAUGAGGUCAAUAUGAUUGUCAAAGUCAAAGGCUAAACUGCUCCAUGGGAAGAUCUUGGAAAGGAAAUACAAUCAUGAGGAUAUCAUCUUGUCCUUGAUUCACCAUCAAUCUAUUUGAACUUUUUAAGGGGUUGUAAUAUGAAAUUGAAGCUGCAAGAGCUUAUGAAUGAGGAGACAAAAAAUGUUGUUCACUCAAUAAGGAAAAGAUAUGGACUUGCAAUGCAUACAUCAGAAGAGAGGAGAGCAAUAUCUGGUAUUAUGAAAGAAGGGAGCUUUUAUAUGAACUUAUGUACCUGCCCAAUUGCUGCUGCAGUUACCUGUCAUCUGAGCUUCAGUCUUCGUUUGUAAAUCUGUCUUAUUGUUUUAGCUUUUAUAUUCUACCCUAGCUAGGAUAGUUGUUUAGUUUAUGAGCUUCAAGUUGAUAUUAUUACAUAGUCCAUAUUCAUGAUAAUCGAUUACAUGAGCUUCAAGUUGAUAUUAUUACAUAGUCCA